CUUCUGUAAAAUGGGGAUAAUAAUUGUACCUAUUUUAUAGGGCAAUUGUGAGGAUUAAAUGAGUUAACUCAUGUCACGCGACUGGAACAGCCCUGGCCUGGGACAGGAGCCUCCCCAGCCUUUAUUAAGGAGGUUACCUCUAACCCUAAUCCUCCCCCGGACCCCAUCCCGGUGAUGUAAUUUCCUGCUCCUCCCCUUCAGCUUCUGGUUCCUGCCCAAAUUCAAAUUCAAAUCCAGCAGCUGCAUUUGUGGAAUACGAUUCAUCCCUGCUACUGAACAAUAUGCCAUUUCCGGCACUUGGAGGUUAUGAAGCACAUGCGUGGUGGUGACAGGACGUUAAUAGGAGCACCAGAUGCACCAGCUUCAUUUCUUGGAUCUUAAACUUGCCACAUAUGAAGUGAAAAGAACUGAGGACAGAGAGAAGCCCGCUUUCAGUCAAUUAUCGCACGUCUAAGGGGUGCCAGGCACUCUUUAGAGGUGUGGUUCUCAAAGUGUGGUCCCUGACCACUAGCAUCAACUUCACUUGGGAUCUUGUUAGAACUGCAAAUUCUCAGGCCCACCCAGACCCACUGCAUCAGAUCCUCCGGGCGUAGGGCCCGCGAUCUGUCUGAGCAACCCUGCAGGGGAUUCUGAUGCAUGCUCAAGUGUGGAAGACUGCUUUGGAAGGAAGGGAUACAGCGUUCAACAGGACAGACAAGGCCCCUGCUCUCCCGGAGUUUCCGUAAAGAGGCAGAGAAACAAGUGUGCAGAUAACAGCCACAUCAUUGAAGACAGUAAUAGAGGCAAUGGAGAAACUGAAAUAAUUGGUGGGGAACAGGAUUGGUCCUGUUUUGAGUGGAUGAGCACAUGGCCUUUGAGGUGAGACCUUCAUUAAAGAAGGAAGUAACUGCAAAGAUGGGGAGCAUGUUUUAGAUCAGAGAGAACUUUAGGGUAAAAGGUGACACAUAGGGUGGGGCUUUCUGUAGCAAGCUCUGUCCUCUCGUCAGCCUCUCACUCUGUGAGGCUGUUCCUGACAGGCACAGUGGGCAGAGAGAACCAAGAAAUAAGCCAGAGGAUGGGGUCUGAGUCCUGACAUCAUCAUUUACCAACCGUGUGACCAAGGCAAGCCAUUGCAUCUCUUGUCUGUAACCCUGGAGACAAAACAGGGAUUCAUGGGAAGAUCAAGUUAGACGACAAACAAAACGUACCUUUUUGUUUUUUACGAAUGUAUUUUGUUAGUAGGUUCAUUAAAAGAACUGUUCUCUCUGUCCUUCCAAAUCUCAUGCUAAAAGCUUUUCUUUAAGAAUUCUUGAGAAGCUAAGCAGUCUUGAUAAAUUUUCCCAUCCAUGAAGGUAUCUGGAAGGAGUUUCCUACAAGUCAUUUGGUCCAUAGAAGAGAACAAUGAUCAAUUCUCAAAUUAAGAUCCUUUAACUUUCUUUUCCAAAGCUAACCAUUUGGGUUUUAAGUCAGAUAUUUCUUCACUCAGGUUAUUGGAGACCCAGAGUUAGUAGCAAUGUGUUUAAAUGACUCACUGUAGGUUUUAAUUCUCCACCUCUUACAGAAAUUUAUUUUUAUUCCUCCAGGACUUGUGAUCAAAGUAUACAGUUCUCAACCCUGCAAAUUGUUGUUCCUUCGCAUUAGAGGCACAUUUGUAAACUGCCUAAUUAUUCUUCCCAGCUGUACGAAAGCCUUAACUGCUUGUUUGAUCUUAAAUGGCAGCAUUUGAACCUUUUAUAUGAAGGCUUCACAAUGGGCUCCGCCAGCCCUGAGAAGCGGUAGCCUGUCUCUGCUACGUUUGCUGUAGACAUAGGAGCACUGGGUAACAAAGGGUCAAGUGCCUUUUCCCAAUGACAGAAGAACACCAACGCUCCACCCACUCCAUGUGUUUUCCGCCAUCUUGUUUCUAUCAGAGCCACUGUACAGGGUGGGUUGGCGACAGGGCGCUGCUGUAAUGGAGCUGGUCUCUGGGAAACCAUUUUCUGCCCCAUGGACCCUGGGCUCUGGAGAAGAUAAAUCCGUGCUGUGAGCAAGCACAGAGAGUUGCCUUCCCUCUAUACUUAGUUGUGUUAACAUUUCCCUUUGGGCAAAUGUUCUGUAUUAUGCACAGUAUCACCAUAUCAGCAAAUUUGGCAAAAUGAGGGACUUGCUUUUCUCUUAGAGUCUUCAAGAACAGACUGAGCCUUGGGAAACAAGCUUUCAGUUGGGAAGUCGGGUCCCUGGACACCGUGACUGAGCUCAGAGGCCAGGGCACAGAAAACAUGGUGCCCUUGUGUGUAACUCAAAAUGAAAACAACUCCAGACCAUGAGAUAAGUGUAAGGAAGUCCAGUGUAGAACUGGUUUCCCAUGAAGACUACUUUGAUCCAUUUUUUUCUUUAAUACCAAAUGUUAUGUUCUUCUCCUCACCCUCCUCCUCCAACCCCUCAUGAUUGUAUUUUGUGACUGUGUGUGCAUGCAUGUGCAUCUAUGUGUGUGCAUGUGGGCUGGUGCCCAGAGCACUUACAUGGUGAGCCUGUGGGAAAUCCAGCUCUGACUGUAGACUCAGCUCUUCGCCAACUAGCGACAGGCAGUAAGGCAAUUAGUGGGACAGCCAUGAGCUUUAGAGUCAGAUUUGGAUCUGAAUCUCACCUCCCCUCCCUCUUGGUUGUGCGACCUUGAAAAGGUUACAUAACCUUUCUGAUAGCCUCAUCUAUAAAACUGAGGUGAGUAAAAUCCCUACUUCUCAGGUUUGUAUGAGAAUGAAAUUAAAUUCUGUUUAAUAAAAUUAAUGACAGACGCUCAAUAAACCUUAUGUGCCUUUUCUUUUUAUAAUUCUGUUUUCUUGUCCAUCAAAGGAAAAUUACCAUAACUGAAAAAAAAAAAGAAAAGACAUGUAAAUUCAAGUGCCGGACAAAUAUAAGGUAAUUAUCAAAUUAAACUUCUUGGGGAAUAGAAGUGAUACAUUGACUUUUGGUGAAACAAUCUUCACCAUGA